rnacentral:tRNA from 1 species
ACCUGGGUGGCUCAGUUGGUUGAGCAUCUGACUUCAGCUCAGGUCAUGAUCUCAAGGUUAGUGAGUUCAAUCCUCACAUUAGGCU